GACGAACGCUGGCGGCGUGCUUAACACAUGCAAGUCGAACGGAAAGGCCCUGCUUUUGUGGGGUGCUCGAGUGGCGAACGGGUGAGUAACACGUGAGUAACCUGCCCUUGACUUUGGGAUAACUUCAGGAAACUAGGGCUAAUACCGGAUAGGAGCUCCUGCUGCAUGGUGGGGGUUGGAAAGUUUCGGCGGUUGGGGAUGGACUCGCGGCUUAUCAGCUUGUUGGUGGGGUAGUGGCUUACCAAGGCUUUGACGGGUAGCCGGCCUGAGAGGGUGACCGGCGACAUGGGGACUGAGAUACGGCCCAGACUCGUACGGGAGGCAGCGGGGGGGAAUAUUGCACAAUGGGCGGAAGCCUGAUGCAGCAACGCCGCGUGCGGGAUGACGGCCUUCGGGGUGUAAACCGAUUUGGCCUGUGACGAAGCGUGAGUGACGGUAAUGGGUAAAGAAGCACCGGCUAACUACGUG
rnacentral:rRNA from 1 species